CGCGCAGACCGCCUUAUCGCCGUCCGUCUUAGGCGGAAGGAGGAAAGUCCGAGCACCAUAGGGAAGCAUAGCGGCUAACGGCCGUCGUUCAGGAUUUUAUUCUGAAAAGGACCAGUGCAACAGAAAGAAUGUACAGAUAAUGCUGUAGUGAAACCAGGUAAACUCUAUGCGGUGAAAUGUCACGUAAACUAGUGUCCCGUUUAUUCGGGUAAGGGUUCCCACCCAAUGCUGGAGGGUAGGCAGAUGGAACAAUCGAGUAAUUGAUUGUCUAGAUAAAUGAUAAGGGUUCGCUUAGGCGAAUACAGAACUCGGCUUAUAGGUCUGCUUUUUUU
rnacentral:RNase_P_RNA from 2 species